rnacentral:lncRNA from 1 species
CUGGGCUGGUGAUCCUGGGUGCUGUAAGAAAGCAGACUGAAGAAGCCAGGGAGAGCAAGCUGGUAGGCAGCAUCCCUCCCUGGCUCUGCUUAGUUCCUGCCUCCAGAUUCCUGCCUUGAGUUCUUCUGACUUCCCUCAGCAAUGAACUGUCCCUUGGAAUGGGCCUCUGACAAUCCCAGGACUUGGAAAAACAUCAAAAGGGGACCAGCUGAAUCACAAAUUAUCUUCGGACCCUCCUCCAGUAAGUAACUCUGAAUCUCAUGGAGGACUUUGAUCACACUCCUGACACCGUGUGGAAGGAUGCCUGCCGAUACCAUUAUGCCUGCUUUUCUGGCUGGCACUGUUAUUGAUUCUUGCCAGCAGGAGCUACAGCAGGCUCGGGAUGUUGCUUUAGGAAGCAAAACUUCAUGUGAUGUUUGGUUAUUAAGAACCACUGCUGUGUGGGUCACCUGUGCUGGGCUUGGCUACUUCGUCCCUCUGAAGACAUCACGGUGGAGGGGAAGAGACACAAAUUCAACACAUAAGUGCCCCUCAAAUGAUCCACUCUACUGUGUGCACUGAAGUGUAUGCCUGAGCCCUUCAUCAUGUCCAUUUACUUGGGACACAGGAUUUGUUUGGUUUAUGGAAACUUCCAGGGGAAGCAGGAGGUUAGGACCGUGCAGCAUAUGAACUCUGGGAGCGCACUGUUCAGUCUGUAGUGGAGGCAUUUGGACACUCGGACUACGGAAGGAGGGACUUACUCUGUCACAUCUCAGCUGUGUGACUUUGAUCAUGUCCUUGGACUAGUCUGGCUUGCGGAAGGUGCUCCUAUUGACCUCAAAGAAGAGAGACAUGGCUUUGUGAUUAGCAAGGUGCUCCGCCCAUGGAAAAAAAAUGCAACAUGCCUUGCAUCAUUUUUGAAUGUGAACUUAGAUGACAGCAAUGUGGAAAUGGGGUGAAAUCACCAGAAAAACAGAUUUGUUGCUGCAAUAACAUUUCUUUCAAGAAAACCUGGUCCCUAGAGGUGGGCCUGGUUGCUGACAUUUGAAUACCUCCACAUUUCCAAGGAACAGAGUUCUUUUUCCCUGCGUGACUAGAAGCUUAAAACAUUACCCUCUAAUGAACACCAGAUGGUAGAUCUGGAAUGCCUGGCCUGCAAGCCUGGCCUGGAUGCCCCUUAGCUUGCUUCACUUAUACAGUACCUGGGCCAACAACUCAGCAGACUGAACAGGAGAGAGAAGCCUAGGGUUUAACCACCCUAUAUCACAAAGUACCUGUGGCUGCCAGGCGAUGCCAAUGACAUUCUCAGCCUGUGAUGUCACAGACAAAUCUUUUAGCAGAAAUGGUUGAUGGGCCACUGAGAAGCCAAUGCUUUGGCCUGCACUGUGUCCAUUCCCUUACUUGUUUCACAUCCUGCUUUCUAGAAAUAUCUAAAGAUGUCAUAUCCCUAUUUUUUACUUUUUCCUGUGGAAAAAAAAAAACCCACCAUGCUUGAAAUGCAC